rnacentral:rRNA from 1 species
AACGAACGCUGGCGGCAUGCCUAACACAUGCAAGUCGAGCGGGGGAGGUUGCUUCGGUAACUGACCUAGCGGCGGACGGGUGAGUAAUGCUUAGGAAUCUGCCUAUUAGUGGGGGACAACAUCUCGAAAGGGAUGCUAAUACCGCAUACGUCCUACGGGAGAAAGCAGGGGACCUUCGGGCCUUGCGCUAAUAGAUGAGCCUAAGUCGGAUUAGCUAGUUGGUGGGGUAAAGGCCUACCAAGGCGACGAUCUGUAGCGGGUCUGAGAGGAUGAUCCGCCACACUGGGACUGAGACACGGCCCAGACUCCUACGGGAGGCAGCAGUGGGGAAUAUUGGACAAUGGGGGGAACCCUGAUCCAGCCAUGCCGCGUGUGUGAAGAAGGCCUUCGGGUUGUAAAGUACUUUCAGCGGGGAGGAAGGUGCUGAGGUUAAUAACCUCAGCAAUUGACGUUACCCGCAGAAGAAGCACCGGCUAACUCCGUGCCAGCAGCCGCGGUAACAC